CUAAACUCAUCUGCAAUAGCUUAACUUGAAGAAUUGUGUGAUACCUGCAUCACCUGAGCGCUGUGUACACACUGUGCGUCAUGCGUAAAGGGCGGGACUUGUGAGAUCUCCCAAACGGAACAGUUACGCACAGAAGCUUGAGCGACGCCGGACACACGGCAAACAUCAAGCAGGGACGUACUUUCAAAGAGCAUCUUUUAGUCCCGUUUGAACUUGUUCUUAAACAUGUCUUUGGGCGACCAGCAGUGGUAUCCCACCAGCGUUCAGGUAACCGUGCUCAAAGCACGAAACCUACGUAUCAAGGGCAAAAAUGGAACGAACGACGCCUAUGCCAUCAUGCAGGUGGGCAAGGACAAGUUUUCCACCUCGGUAGCGGAGAAAUGCGUCUCGCCGGAAUGGAAGGAGGAAGCGACGUUCGAUUUGCCGCUGGUCCAUCAGGAUAACGUAGAGCGAUGCACGCUGUACAUCAUCGCCAUGCACCGAGCCCUGGUGGGGCUAGACAAGUUUUUGGGGCAGGCUGUCAUCAAUUUAGUGGACCUCCACGCCAACAGAUCACGCAAGAAAACCGACUGGUAUAAGCUGGUGGAUAAACAUGGGAAGCAAGAGAAGGACCGUGGGGAAGUUAUGCUGGACAUUCAGUUCAUGAGGAAUAACAUGACAGCCAGCAUGUUUGACCUCUCCAUGACAGAGAAGCCUCGCUCUGGAAUCGCUAAGCUCAAGGAUAAAAUUCGUGGAAAGAAGAAAGAUGGCCUGUCAGAUUCUGCCUCUGCGAUUGUGCCCUCGUCAGUGGGAACUGACAGUGAAGGAGAAGGAGAGGGCAGUUUUGACUCCCCGAAGAAGAAAUCAAAGCUGAAAUCCCUGUUUGGGCCAAAAACAAACCUCCAAAAGAAUGUGUCCCAGUCCAUGUCAACCCUCGGCACCCUACCUGAGAAGAACAGUUCACUUAGCAGCAGCAGAUCGUCAGGCCUUAAUGUGGAUUCUCCUGAUGUGAAAAAGAAGUUUAAAAUUCUGGGACACAAACGCACCGACAGCUCGGAUAGCAAAGUGUCACUUGGCCCCUUUUCUCUUCUGAGCCGCUCUAAACAGAACAUCCAGGAGCAGAAUAACCUCUGUAUCAAUGGCAGCCACGUUUAUGCAGAAGAUCAAGAACCCAAAGCCAGCUUUGGCUCCACGCUCAGCCUGAACAGCUCCGGAAAAGGUUCAGUAGAGGAUGUUCGUAAAUUCCAUCAACGGAAUAUGUCUGACGUCUCCAUUGACUCAUUAAAAGGCCUAAGUAUUCCCUCGUACAAGCCUGAAGUGCAAGACAAAACUGUCCCACAGCGCCCUCUGGAGGACAAAAACCUCAACUUGCAUCCUGUGAAGGUGCUGGAGGAGGAGAAAGAAAAGAAACCUGAAGGAAGAAGCCUGCAAGAGAUGCUGGACCGGCAGGAGGAACAAGAGCAAUGGAGGCAGCAGGAACGAGAAAGGAAGCAGGAGGAAGAGAGGAAAGAGCAGGAGAGGAAGCGCAGAGAAGAGGAAGAGCUGCAGAGGAAGAGACGAGAAGAGGAGACUCGGCAUACUGAGGAGCAGCGGCACCAGGAGGAGAGCAGAGUAACUGAGCGGCUCUCCUCGCUCUUUGGCAUUGGAAGGAAAAAGGAGGAGAAGAAAGAAGGGUCUGGUUCUCCAGCUAUGAAUGAAGCCAAACAUCUGAAUGUGUCCUCCUCCACAAACCCCUUUGAAGACAUUCCCCUCACCCCAGAUACUUCAGCUUCUUUGCCAGAAGAGAGAUCCACAGACCCUCGGAGGGGCAUCAGGGGCAUUACCCCAACACCACCCGCUAGUGCUUUCCCUAGCCGCACAGCAAAAGUGUCCGCUGUCAAGCCAAGAUUGGCUCUGAAUGUAUUGCCUGAAACGCAUAAUAGCCUGUCCCAAUCGCCCUCAAACUUUGUAAACACUCAGAGCACGAUCCACGCUUCUCCAGUUUCCUCAUCCCUUUCUACUGAUCCAUUUGAGUCUCUUGGUAUGUUUUCUGAUCUUCAUUCUUCUCUGGCACCACCUAAACCUCCGAGAAGUUUCAGCGAGUCAAUUGAAUCCAAUAUGGAAAACCUCUCUGCUCCCAAAUCUGAGAAGCGACAGGCUCCCCUUCCCCCUGGUUAUACUGGGGGCUCAUCCAGUGCUAGAAAUGGUGGGCAGGACUCCAAAAAUACUCAAAGGCCUCCUCUUCCUCUCCCUGACUAUGAAACACUUUUUCCCAAGAAGAGGCAUGGGGUGAUGAGUCAAACACGUUGGGAUCAUAUUAUCGCAGAGGUAAACCAGAGAAACUGGGAUUUUUCAGAAGAGGUGAAUGUAGAUGGACCAAACAAAUCAUUGUCGAAUUCAUCUGCAGUUUUAAAAGACAGAACCUCAUCCAACAUUAACCAGCAUCAAAGAAUCAUGAGCCUCUUCCACCUGCCCUUACGAGGCCCAAAGAAGCCCUCAAGCCACCAAAAGUUCAUGAAACUUCAGAACCAACGUUUAAGACCACUGUCCAACAUGACAAUUUCAAUGAGUCUUUAUAUGCUACAGUUAAUAAACCUGGAAAAUCGAAGAACUUGGAAAGCAACCCAUAUCCAACUGUCCAACAUUUACCUCAGGAUAUGGAAAGCAAGAGUCCUGAUGGCAUUACCCAUCAAACCUCCUAUUCAAAAGAUAAGCCUAUGCCAGCCUCCAGGACCAAACAAAAUAUCAAUUUAAAGACUGAAGAUGUGGCUAAACAGAUGCCUUCAGCCAAACCCAGACAACAGUCAUUAGUCAAGGACCCAGUCAGACAAGUUCAACCAGACCAGCAUGUGACAACUCGGCCCGUGACAUCAGAAAAUAACAAAGCUGAGAAAUCGGAGAAGGGCCAAAAGGGAAGUGUUUCUACAAAUAAGUUUAUUGAACCAGUCCACCUCAAAACAUCAGACAUUCCAGAAGAUCUGGCAAAACUUUCUAAGGAUCCCGAGGGAAGUGGAAUGAUCAACUCAUACCCAAGUGAUAUACCACAGCAAACCACAGAUGAGGAGGAUGUGCUCUUCACUAAAGGCUUAACAAAGUUGAGAAGUCUUGAAGAUCAAGAGUCAUCCUACAAUAAAAACCUAGCAAAAAAGGAGAACAGCAUGGCACCAAAAUCAGAGUCUGAAAAACAAGCUCCGAGCUUUACCGAACAAGCUAGAGCCACAUUUCAGAGAAAUUUUUCACUUAGAAAGAAAAAUCCAUCUCAUCUUUACGCAACCCCUGGGAAAGCUAGUCCUGAGAAUAGUAGUUUGGGUAGAUCAAUUUCUCAGUCUUCGCAAGAUGCUGAAGAUGUUGAGAUGACUGUAACUAGUAUUGCUUCAUCAAGCAGAACCGAGACCAUGCCAGAAAUGACUCCAACUGGGGGCAAGACUGCACUCCGUGCUUGGGUCUCACCUUCAGAAUCUCAGACAUAUACAUUGCAGAGUGGUAGUGGAAAUGCAGUUUCUAGUUCAAAAAGGCCGCAUCCAGUGAAACCCAUGAGCACAACGGAGAACCAGAGUCCCAGUGUUCUUGCUGUGGGGAAAGAACCAAAGACUAUCACCAUCAAG